rnacentral:RNase_MRP_RNA from 14 species
UUCGCAGCUCGCAGACGGGGAGCACUUUCUCCCAGAACAGGCUGCAUGGAAAGUCCCCGUGCUUCAAGGCAGAGAGUGCCAGCGGGAGACCGCGCAGCUCUGGCCACGGGCGCACGCGGCGAUGCCGGCGGCAGACUUGCGGCGCCUUGCUCGGGCUGAUUCGCGCCAGCACAGCCAUCUCGUGAGCACCCAUCUGGGGUGCCAACUGAACGGGGCUCACUCUG